UUGUUACUCCCUCCGUCCUAAAACUCUUGUUUUAGAUUUGUCUAGAUACAGAUGUAUCUAAUACUAAAACGUGACUUGAUACAUCCGUAUUUAGACAAAUCUAAGACAAGAAUUUUGGGACGGAUGGAGUAUUUA
rfam:Triticum urartu cultivar G1812 contig885788, whole genome shotgun sequence.